GCUGGGUGUGGUGGCACAUGCCUGUAAUCCCAGCAGCUCGGGAGGCUGAGACAGGAGGAUCAUGUGUUCAAAGGUAGCCCCAGAAGCAGUGAGGCCCUAAGCAACUCAGUGAGAUCCUGUCUCUA
rnacentral:sRNA from 1 species